UGCAAGUCGAACGAACUCUGGUAUUGAUUGGUGCUUGCAUCAUGAUUUACAUUUGAGUGAGUGGCGAACUGGUGAGUAACACGUGGGAAACCUGCCCAGAAGCGGGGGAUAACACCUGGAAACAGAUGCUAAUACCGCAUAACAACUUGGACCGCAUGGUCCGAGCUUGAAAGAUGGCUUCGGCUAUCACUUUUGGAUGGUCCCGCGGCGUAUUAGCUAGAUGGUGGGGUAACGGCUCACCAUGGCAAUGAUACGUAGCCGACCUGAGAGGGUAAUCGGCCACAUUGGGACUGAGACACGGCCCAAACUCCUACGGGAGGCAGCAGUAGGGAAUCUUCCACAAUGGACGAAAGUCUGAUGGAGCAACGCCGCGUGAGUGAAGAAGGGUUUCGGCUCGUAAAACUCUGUUGUUAAAGAAGAACAUAUCUGAGAGUAACUGUUCAGGUAUUGACGGUAUUUAACCAGAAAGCCACGGCUAACUACGUGCCAGCAGCCGCGGUAAUACGUAGGUGGCAAGCGUUGUCCGGAUUUAUUGGGCGUAAAGCGAGCGCAGGCGGUUUUUUAAGUCUGAUGUGAAAGCCUUCGGCUCAACCGAAGAAGUGCAUCGGAAACUGGGAAACUUGAGUGCAGAAGAGGACAGUGGAACUCCAUGUGUAGCGGUGAAAUGCGUAGAUAUAUGGAAGAACACCAGUGGCGAAGGCGGCUGUCUGGUCUGUAACUGACGCUGAGGCUCGAAAGUAUGGGUAGCAAACAGGAUUAGAUACCCUGGUAGUCCAUACCGUAAACGAUGAAUGCUAAGUGUUGGAGGGUUUCCGCCCUUCAGUGCUGCAGCUAACGCAUUAAGCAUUCCGCCUGGGGAGUACGGCCGCAAGGCUGAAACUCAAAGGAAUUGACGGGGGCCCGCACAAGCGGUGGAGCAUGUGGUUUAAUUCGAAGCUACGCGAAGAACCUUACCAGGUCUUGACAUACUAUGCAAAUCUAAGAGAUUAGACGUUCCCUUCGGGGACAUGGAUACAGGUGGUGCAUGGUUGUCGUCAGCUCGUGUCGUGAGAUGUUGGGUUAAGUCCCGCAACGAGCGCAACCCUUAUUAUCAGUUGCCAGCAUUAAGUUGGGCACUCUGGUGAGACUGCCGGUGACAAACCGGAGGAAGGUGGGGAUGACGUCAAAUCAUCAUGCCCCUUAUGACCUGGGCUACACACGUGCUACAAUGGAUGGUACAACGAGUUGCGAACUCGCGAGAGUAAGCUAAUCUCUUAAAGCCAUUCUCAGUUCGGAUUGUAGGCUGCAACUCGCCUACAUGAAGUCGGAAUCGCUAGUAAUCGCGGAUCAGCAUGCCGCGGUGAAUACGUUCCCGGGCCUUGUACACACCGCCCGUCACACCAUGAGAGUUUGUAACACCCAAAGUCGGUGGGGUAACCUUUUAGGAACC
rnacentral:rRNA from 2 species